rnacentral:snoRNA from 1 species
CUGCAACACAUCUCCCCAUGGGGGCCUGGUGUGCAGUGGCUGCAGACAGCAGCCUCCUUGGUAGUGUAUGUGGCCUGUUUCCUGUACAGGUUGCCCUAAAGGACCUUGAAGACUGCC